CCCUUAGAUGUUCUGGGCCGCACGCGCGCUACACUGAUGCAUUCAACGAGCACCCGCCGGGCCGAGAGGUCCGGCUAAUCUUUGAACGUGCAUCGUGCUGGGGAUAGAUGAUUGCAAUUAUUCAUCUUCAACGAGGAAUUCCUAGUAAACGCAAGUCAUCAGCUUGCAUUGAUUACGUCCCUGCCCUUUGUACACACCGCCCGUCGCACCUACCGAUUGAAUGGUCCGGUGAAAUUCUCGGACGCGGACUUGCGAUGUUAAUUCGGAGCUUGACUGUGAAAGUUAAUUAAACCUUACCAUUUAGAGGAAGGUGAAGUCGUAACA
rnacentral:rRNA from 1 species